rnacentral:rRNA from 1 species
GAUGAACGCUGGCGGCAGGCUUAACACAUGCAAGUCGAACGCAUCCUUCGGGGUGAGUGGCAGACGGGUGAGUAACGCGUGGGAACGUGCCCUUCAGUUCGGGAUAACCCAGGGAAACUUGGGCUAAUACCGGAUACGUGCGAGAGCAGAAAGAUUUAUCGCUGAAGGAUCGGCCCGCGUCUGAUUAGCUAGUUGGUGGGGUAAUGGCCCACCUAGGCGACGAUCAGUAGCUGGUCUGAGAGGAUGAUCAGCCACAUUGGGACUGAGACACGGCCCAAACUCCUACGGGAGGCAGCAGUGGGGAAUAUUGGACAAUGGGCGCAAGCCUGAUCCAGCCAUGCCGCGUGAGUGAUGAAGGCCUUAGGGUUGUAAAGCUCUUUCGUCCGGGACGAUAAUGACGGUACCGGAAGAAGAAGCCCCGGCUAACUUCGUGCCAGCAGCCGCGGUAACAC